rnacentral:tRNA from 1 species
CGGAGAAUAGUUUAAUUAAAAUAUUAGUUUUGGAUAUUAAAGUAGAUUGUUAAUCUUUUCCUA